rnacentral:rRNA from 1 species
CCUACGGGAGGCAGCAGUGAGGAAUAUUGGUCAAUGGACGAGAGUCUGAACCAGCCAAGCAGCGUGAAGGAUGACUGCCCUAUGGGUUGUAAACUUCUUUUAUAAAGGAAUAAAAUGAGGCACGUGUGCCUUUCUGCAUGUACUUUAUGAAUAAGGAUCGGCUAACUCCGUGCCAGCAGCCGCGGUAAUACGGAGGAUCCGAGCGUUAUCCGGAUUUAUUGGGUUUAAAGGGAGCGUAGAUGGGCUGUUAAGUCAGGUGUGAAAGUUUGGGGCUCAACCGUAAAAUUGCAAUUGAUACUGGCAGUCUUGAGUACAGUAGAGGUAGGCGGAAUGCGUGGUGUAGCGGUGAAAUGCUUAGAUAUCGCGAAGAACCCCGAUUGCGAAGGCAGCUUACUGGACUGUGACUGACAUUGAUGCUCGAAAGUGUGGGUAUCAAACAGGAUUAGAUACCCUUGUAGUC